AACGAGCGCUGGCGGCAGGCUUAACACAUGCAAGUCGAACGCAUCCUUCGGGGUGAGUGGCAGACGGGUGAGUAACGCGUGGGAACGUGCCCUUCAGUUCGGGAUAACCCAGGGAAACUUGGGCUAAUACCGGAUACGUGCGAGAGCAGAAAGAUUUAUCGCUGAAGGAUCGGCCCGCGUCUGAUUAGCUAGUUGGUGGGGUAAUGGCCCACCAAGGCGACGAUCAGUAGCUGGUCUGAGAGGAUGAUCAGCCACAUUGGGACUGAGACACGGCCCAAACUCCUACGGGAGGUAGCAGUGGGGAAUAUUGGACAAUGGGCGCAAGCCUGAUCCAGCCAUGCCGCGUGAGUGAUGAAGGCCUUAGGGUUGUAAAGCUCUUUCGUCCGGGACGAUAAUGACGGUACCGGAAGAAGAAGCUCCGGCUAACUUCGUGCCAGCAGCCGCAGUAA
rnacentral:rRNA from 1 species